GACGAGCGCUGGCGGCGUGCCUAAUACAUGCAAGUUGAGCGCUGAAGGUUGGUACUUGUACCAACUGGAUGAGCAGCGAACGGGUGAGUAACGCGUGGGGAAUCUGCCUUUGAGCGGGGGACAACAUUUGGAAACGAAUGCUAAUACCGCAUAAAAACUUUAAACACAAGUUUUAAGUUUGAAAGAUGCAAUUGCAUCACUCAAAGAUGAUCCCGCGUUGUAUUAGCUAGUUGGUGAGGUAAAGGCUCACCAAGGCGAUGAUACAUAGCCGACCUGAGAGGGUGAUCGGCCACAUUGGGACUGAGACACGGCCCAAACUCCUACGGGAGGCAGCAGUAGGGAAUCUUCGGCAAUGGACGAAAGUCUGACCGAGCAACGCCGCGCGAGUGAAGAAGGUUUUCGGAUCGUAAAACUCUGUUGGUAGAGAAGAACGUUGGUGAGAGUGGAAAGCUCAUCAAGUGACGGUAACUACCCAGAAAGGGACGGCUAACUACGUG
rnacentral:rRNA from 1 species